rnacentral:misc_RNA from 1 species
UGACCGAACGCUACCUGGGCGAAUGGCUCAGCGACGCCAACCAUUACCGGAUGCAGCUUCAGGGCGACGCCGCCGACAACCCCGACCAGCGCCUUACCGAUGACGUCAAGCUGUUCGUCGACCGCACNNNNUCGGCAUCGGCCUGUUGAACUCGGUCGUCACGCUGGCGUCGUUCGUGGUCAUCCUAUGGACCUUGUCGAGCGCAGCGCCGCUGCACCUGUUCGGCAGGGACAUCGACAUUCCGGGCUACAUGGUCUGGGGCGCACUGAUCUACGCUGCCCUCGGCACGUGGCUGACCCA